rnacentral:rRNA from 1 species
GGGGGGGGCAAGCGUUGUUCGGAAUUACUGGGCGUAAAGGGCUCGUAGGUGGCCAACUAAGUCAGACGUGAAAUCCCCAGGCUUAACCUGGGAACUGCGUCUGAUACUGGAUGGCUUGAAUUCGGGAGAGGGAUGCAGAAUUCCAGGUGUAGCGGUGAAAUGCGUAGAUAUCUGGAGGAAUACCGGUGGCGAAGGCGGCAUCCUGGACCGAGAUUGACACUGAUGAGCGAAAGCCAGGGGAGCAAACGGGAUUAGAUGCCCCGGUAGUCCUGGCCCUAAACGAUGAAUGCUUGGUGUGACGGGUAUCGAUCCCUGUCGUGCCGAAGCUAACGCAUUAAGCAUUCCGCCUGGGGAGUACGGUCGCAAGGCUG